rnacentral:tRNA from 1 species
GGUCUUAUAGUUUAAUAUAAAACUUUAAAUUGCAAAUUUAAAAAUGUGUUCAUAUCUUCUAAGACUU